UUAAUCACACAGGAGGGAAUCUUCUAAAUAAUUAGUAGAACACUAAGAAUAUAUAUUAACACUAUUGUGUUCCUUUAAAAUGUUAGUUUUAGAGAUUAAAUUUCAAUCCCUAAACCCGUAGGGAACAAAGAAUAGCUUCAUGAAGUCAUACACACUAAGACAGGCCUUCUGGGGGUUUAAAAUUCUCAGAAAAUAUGAAAUAGUGAUGUAUUGUGUUGCAAGUUAAGAUGUAUGCAGCCUAUCAAAUGUCCCAUUGAUUAUAAGCAUCCCCCAUCCUCCAAUUCCCCAGGUCAUAUCCAGUUAUGAUGUAAUCUUCAUCUUUAUGCACAAUAUGCAGUCUGAAAAAACACAGUGAAACGUUCACUAGCGACAGACAGUGUGUAACAGGGCAAUUGGGCAGCUGACAGGUGUUGAGCUUUUAAAGGAUCACUUUAAGAUAGACUUCAAGUUACACAAACUUUCUUCAUACUGUGGGGCCUGGGAGGAAGGAAUUUAGGAGACAGAGGUGUCUGGCACCAGGGAAUCAACUUUAGAGUUAAACUGGUGGAAAAUGGUUUAACCCCUAAUGUAAAGAUGGCACCCAGACAUUCCUUCAUCUCGGUGAAGUUAUGGGUGGAGGGGAAGAGAAUGUUCCUUCUAAGCAACAUAUAGAGGCUUAUUCCCUAAACACCCAGUUGUACUGAAUUAAAAGCCAAAUUGCAAAAAGUAGGAAACAUUUGAUUUGAAAAUAUUCCACAUCUCCGCUAUAAUCAUACCAUGACUAUUUUAGCAUAAAGUUUGCAAACUGAUAUACAUUUCACUACAAUUCACAGUUUAGUGCAUAAACCUGAUACGUUCUAGUUCUUGUUUAUAUAAGGGCACUCCAAAUACAAUCGUAAAUCUCUGUACUUGCUACUUUUUAUUUUGUAAGCAGC